UGAGUAGAGUUCUUGCAGUCAGU
rnacentral:miRNA from 1 species